UGUCUGGUGGCUGAGUUAUAAAGCGGUAGACUGUAGAUCUAUUAACGGAAUUAAAUUUCCCCGGCAA
rnacentral:tRNA from 2 species